CCUUUCACCACUAGGUCAGCAGGCAGGAAGUCACUAGUAGAAAAAUACAAAAAGGCACCGCUCUAUGGCCACCGGUUUUUGAAAACCGGUGGCUUAAAAAAUGGGCGGGAUAGGCUAAUUCACAUUGCCACGGGUUCAAACCGAACCGGUGGCAUAAAUGGUAAAGGCCACCGGUCUGAACCCGUGGCAAUAAUCAAUUAAAAAAAAAACCCCCCUUAUAAACCCCAAACCCUACCUCAUUUCCCUCUCAGCCGUUCUUUCUCUCUCCUGCUCUCCCCUCUCCUCUUUCUCUCUCCUGCUCUCCCCUCUCUUCUUUCUCUUUCAAUUCGACUGCUCUGUUCUCUUGCUCUUCUCCUUCGUCUCCUUCUCCCUCUUCUCCUUCGUCUCCCAUCACCAAUUAACCUCAAAGACAUGCACCACGAAGACAUGCACGAGGUAUAUUAAUUUAGAUGUAGAUGUUAAAUCGAAGAAUAAAGAUGCUGGAUUAUUGAUUUAGGUGUUAUAUGGGUUAUUUUUUAAUUUUAAUGUUGUAAUUUUUUUUUUUGGUUUAUUAUUGUAAUUUUUUUUUUAGAUUUUAAUGUUGGAAUUUUAGUCUUGUGUAAUUUGAUGAAUUUAGUUCUUUUAAAUUGGAAUUGUUGUAUGAGUAAUUUAGUUGUAGUUAUUAAUUUAGUUUUUUCACUCUUAAAAAGUGUACAAUUACUAGAUACUGAUGAAUAUAUAUCUGUUUUUAUGUAUUUUACAUA